rnacentral:piRNA from 1 species
UGAAGAACUAGAUUCCAGAGAAUCAAACAA